rnacentral:rRNA from 1 species
AACGGGGCUUCGGCUCCGGCGCAAAGAGAGGCCCAAGUGAGAUUAGCUAGUUGGUAAGGUAACGGCUUACCAAGGCGACGAUCUCUAGCUGUUCUGAGAGGAAGAUCAGCCACACUGGGACUGAGACACGGCCCAGACUCCUACGGGAGGCAGCAGUGGGGAAUAUUGCACAAUGGGGGAAACCCUGAUGCAGCCAUGCCGCGUGUGUGAAGAAGGCCUUCGGGUUGUAAAGCACUUUCAGUUGUGAGGAAAAGUUAGUAGUUAAUACCUGCUAACCGUGACGUUAACAACAGAAGAAGCACCGGCUAACUCCGUGCCAGCAGCCGCGGUAAUACGGAGGGUGCGAGCGUUAAUCGGAAUUACUGGGCGUAAAGCGCACGCAGGCGGUUUGUUAAGCUAGAUGUGAAAGCCCCGGGCUCAACCUGGGAUGGUCAUUUAGAACUGGCAGACUAGAGUCUUGGAGAGGGGAGUGGAAUUCCAGGUGUAGCGGUGAAAUGCGUAGAUAUCUGGAGGAACAUCAGUGGCGAAGGCGACUCCCUGGCCAAAGACUGACGCUCAUGUGCGAAAGUGUGGGUAGCGAACAGGAUUAGAUACCCUGGUAGUCCACACCGUAAACGCUGUCUACUAGCUGUGUGUGCCUUUAAGGCGUGCGUAGCGAAGCUAACGCGCUAAGUAGACCGCCUGGGGAGUACGGCCGCAAGGUUAAAAC